UAUGGUAUUUUUUUAAUUAUUGUUAAAAAAUACUCACCAAAUUGAAAUUUAGGAGGUUAAGAGGAUAUUUCUAAAAACAGGGAUAUGUGAAUUAAGAAUUUUAAAUUGAUCUUUAUAUACAUUAUUAAUAAAGAUGGGUAAUAUAUACUUUUAUUAAAAGUUAUGUUUUCAAAAGAUAAGAAUGGGACAACCAAUUUUACCUAACCCUGGUAAUUAUCCAAAGGACAAUAUCAACAUGUGGUUAAAUGUAUGUGUGCAUAGACUCGGCCCAAAAUGGGGUCCAAUUGUCACCGUUGACGUCAUUGUCUCGGGCUAUAUGUAUGUGCGCAUGGAAAAUGCUAUUUGUACAUAAGUUUUUAUAUAAAAAGCUUAUAUAGAUGAUAUAUCACAAUAUUUUGAUAUUAAAAAAUGUGAUAUUUUGUGACCUGUUCAUCCUUUUUUCUCUUUCUCCCCUUCCUUCGCCACUGCAACUUCACCCGUCGCCGCCUCGCCUCGCCUCACCUCGUUGUCGUUGCUUGUCGCUGCUAUUACUGCCGUUACUGGGGCUGAUGGUGUGAGAGGGAGAGCGAGAGAGAGACAAGGAGAGAGAGAUGGUUUGGGCAUUUGGGUCAUUAAUUACAAGGGUAAAAUAGAUAUUUUAAUUUUUCUAUAAAUAUUUCUGUAAUAUAUGUUCUGUACAAUAGCAUGACUCAUAUGUGCAUAGAGGAGUAAUGCUAUUCGGCCUUCCACAACGCCACCCUCAAAGCCACCAACAAUGCAAUUACAAAUCUACCCAUCAAUAUAAUUACAGAUAUACCCUUAAUACAUAAUACCCACAACAACUCAUCUUCCCUCUAUCAGACUUUCUCCAGUGCUUCUCUGCUCAUCCUUCUUCCCCCUCCCCCCCCCCUUCUCUCUCUCUCGUCCCGUGCCAUAGCGUCUUCAGCGUCCUCGUUCCGGCCCCUAUCUACAAGGAGGCUGCUCAUUAUCAAAACUUGGAAGGUUGAUACUCAUGGAAUGCAUAUGGUGCUUAUUUUUGACACGGUUGAAUCUUUCAUGCCAACAGACACACCUCAUCUACAAUACAAUUCGAUGACAACUCACCAGAUGUCCGAGAGCAUUAAGAAAUAGUAUAGCCAAAAAAUUUUAAGGAGCUGUUUAUGAAGAGCAUUUUGUUAGCAAAGUGCAAAUCAAUUUAUUGUCAUCAGACAAGCUAAGAUGCACAUUUUAAGUCGCUUAAACUUGUAUUUUAUUGUCAUCAGAAUGACAGUGUCUUGUGAUUGAAUUUCCUGUUCUUGUUGCCCAAACCAAUUUAAGAUGUACAUUACGUUACUUAAAA